AACGAACGCUGGCGGCAUGCCUAACACAUGCAAGUCGAACGAGACCUUCGGGUCUAGUGGCGCACGGGUGCGUAACGCGUGGGAACCUGCCUUUAGGUUCGGAAUAACUCAGAGAAAUUUGAGCUAAUACCGGAUAAUGUCUUCGGACCAAAGAUUUAUCGCCUUUAGAUGGGCCCGCGUAAGAUUAGCUAGUUGGUGGGUAAAGGCCUACCAAGGCGACGAUCUUUAGCUGGUCUGAGAGGAUGAUCAGCCACACUGGGACUGAGACACGGCCCAGACUCCUACGGGAGGCAGCAGUGGGGAAUAUUGGACAAUGGGCGAAAGCCUGAUCCAGCAAUGCCGCGUGAGUGAUGAAGGCCUUAGGGUUGUAAAGCUCUUUUACCCGUAGAUGAUAAUGACAGUAUCGGGAGAAUAAGCUCCGGCUAACUCCGUGCCAGCAGCCGCGGUAAU
rnacentral:rRNA from 1 species